AUCGGUUUAAAUUUAUUUCAUUUAAACUUAACUUAUAAACAGUUUAUAGUUUGACAAAUUUUUUAUGGUACCUCCAUACUCUAAAAAAUAAUUAAGCUGCAAUAUUUAUUAUCAGGUUAUGUGCGCUGGAUUUACAACCACUUUAUUCAGUUUCUAAUCGACCUUCAACAGAUUUUGGAGUAUUUUUGUGCACAUCCCUUAACGAUUCUAAAGCUGUAAUCAUAACUUAUGAUGAAGUUCAAAGUAAAUGUUAUCGGAUGCCAUUGUGGAUCAAUAAACCGUUCUUAGAUAUCAAUUCAAAUGAUGAACAAUUAAAUAAUGCCUAUGUUGCUGUAGUCAUGUAGUAUAUACCCUUUUUUAAAACAAAAUAUUCUCUUUAAAACAAUGAAGCCAUAAAAAUUAAUAGUUUCUAUAAGUUAAUACUCAGUAAAUAUAGCUAAAACUUCUGAUAAAAGUAUAAAAUUGUUAAUUUGUUUAUUUUCUACUUUGCGUAACAAAUAAUUAAGAAAUAUAAUUUUUUUACGUUUAACAUAUAAUCUAUCUUUAUUACAUACUGAAAAUUACUUGCAAGUUUGUGAUAUUCACUGAUUUCUUAAAUAAAUAGUAUACAUUGGUUAUGAUA